rnacentral:misc_RNA from 1 species
UCCGGUUUGUCACCGGCAGUCUGGCGUGAGUCCCCAACUUAAUGCUGGCAACACGCCACGGGGGUUGCGCUCGUUGCGCCACUUAAGGCAACACCUCACGGCACGAACUGACGACAGCCAUGCAGCACCUGAACCGGAGGUCCCCGAAGGGAAGACCCCAUCUCUGGGGCUGUCCUCCGUUGUCUAGCCCAGGUAAGGUUCUGCGCGUUGCGUCGAAUUGAACCACAUGCUCCACCGCUUGUGCGGGCCCCGUCAAUUCCUUUGAGUUUUAACCUUGCGGCCGUACUCCCCAGGCGGGGUGCUUAAUGCGUUAGCUUCGGCACGGACGGGGUCGAUAUCCGCCCACACCUAGCACCCAACGUUUACGGCUAGGACUAC